rnacentral:rRNA from 1 species
AACGAACGCUGGCGGCAGGCUUAACACAUGCAAGUCGAGCGCCCUGCUUGCAGGGAGCGGCAGACGGGUGAGUAACGCGUGGGAACAUACCUUUCGGUUCGGAAUAGCCCCGGGAAACUGGGUGUAAUACCGAAUACGUCCUUAGGGAGAAAGAUUUAUCGCCGAGAGAUUGGCCCGCGUUAGAUUAGAUAGUUGGUGAGGUAACGGCUCACCAAGUCGACGAUCUAUAGCUGGUUUGAGAGGAUGAUCAGCCACACUGGGACUGAGACACGGCCCAGACUCCUACGGGAGGCAGCAGUGAGGAAUCUUGGACAAUGGGCGAAAGCCUGAUCCAGCCAUGCCGCGUGAAUGAUGAAGGCCUUAGGGUUGUAAAAUUCUUUCAGCAGGGAAGAUAAUGACGGUACCUGCAAAAGAAGCCCCGGCUAACUCCGUGCCAGCAGCCGCGGUAAUACGGAGGGGGCUAGCGUUGUUCGGAAUUACUGGGCGUAAAGCGCUCGUAGGCGGAUUGGUCAGUCAGAGGUGAAAGCCCAGGGCUCAACCUUGGAAUUGCCUUUGAUACUGCCAGUCUUGAGUUCAGGAGAGGUAAGCGGAAUUCCGAGUGUAGAGGUGAAAUUCGUAGAUAUUCGGAGGAACACCAGAGGCGAAGGCGGCUUACUGGACUGAUACUGACGCUGA